CUCACUGCCGACGCCCGGCCGGACGUAGACUUCGGCGGUACGGCUCUGACUAUCUACCCAGUUACACGGAGCCUUCCCACAUUGGGAGCUAGAAUACAACCAAACGACACUUGCACCAACACACACACGGCAAUAGAAGGAGAAGUGGACAGCCACGUCCGACCCUUAGACACGAAAGGGAGGCAAAUACUCACACACGACCACUAGCAACCCACGAAAG